AUUGAACGCUGGCGGCAUGCCUAACACAUGCAAGUCGAACGGUAACAGGUCCCGUAGCAGUACGGGAUGCUGACGAGUGGCGGACGGGUGAGUAAUGCGUAGGAAUUUACCUCAAAGCGGGGGAUAGCCCGGAGAAAUCCGGAUUAAUACCGCAUGUGCUCCACGGAGGAAAGCGGGCCUCUACUUGUAAGCUCGCACUUUGAGAUAAGCCUACGUCGGAUUAGCUAGUUGGUAGGGUAAAGGCCUACCAAGGCGGCGAUCCGUAGCUGGUUUGAGAGGAUGAUCAGCCACACUGGGACUGAGACACGGCCCAGACUCCUACGGGAGGCAGCAGUGGGGAAUAUUGGACAAUGGGCGAAAGCCUGAUCCAGCAAUGCCGCGUGUGUGAAGAAGGCCUGCGGGUUGUAAAGCACUUUUAUCAGGAAAGAAAAUCUCGGGGCUAAUAUCCCCGGGCCUUGACGGUACCUGAUGAAUAAGCACCGGCUAACUCCGUGCCAGCCGCCGCGGUAA
rnacentral:rRNA from 1 species